CCUACGGGGAGCAGCAGUGGGGGAUAUUGCACAAUGGGGGAAACCCUGAUGCAGCGACGCCGCGUGGGCGAAGAAGUAUUUCGGUAUGUAAAGCCCUAUCAGCAGGGAAGAAGAAAUGACGGUACCUGAGUAAGAAGCACCGGCUAAAUACGUGACAGCAGCCGCGGUAAUACGUAUGGUGCAAGCGUUAUCCGGAUUUACUGGGUGGAAAGGGAGCGCAGGCGGCACGGCCAGCCUGAUGUGAAAGCCCGCGGCCCAACCGCGGGACUGCAUUGGGAACUACCGGGCGGGAGUGCCGGAGAGGUAGGCGGAAUGCCUAGUGUAGCGGUGAAAUGCGUAGAUAUUAGGAGGAACACCAGUGGCGAAGGCGGCCUACUGGACGGUGACUGACGCUGAGGCUCGAAAGCGUGGGGAGCAAACAGGAUUAGAUACCCGAGUAGUC
rnacentral:rRNA from 1 species